UACAAAAACACAACAAAAAAACACAAUGAUUACCAAACACACCCUUAGUUAAUAUGCUUGUCAUUUUACCGGGAGGAUGGUAUAUUGAAACUUCAACGUUGUUGCAUGACUGUUAACAUCAAAAAGGUUCAGUAUCACAUCGAUCAUACGUUGGUCCGAGUGGACACCCUAUAUCUAGGAGCAGGGCAUGAGAAUUUUGCUAACUAGAAACUAGAAAGCAUGAACAAUGUCCUUCUGAAGUCCUGGAAUGAGAGCUUUCAAAGAAGUCCUCUAUCAUGAAAUUAUUCCACUUUAAGUACACCCAACUAUAUAAUCUAUAGGAUUUAUUAUAUCAGAGUUUUCUUUAUCACAUAUCUCUCAUGUGGAAUUAUUCGCUGUCUUGUGAUGUUAGAUAUCCUCCAUUUUAGGUUGUAAGGUCUCAUGUUGGAUACUCCUCCGUGUAGCAUUUCACCUUGUGAUGUGAGAUUCUAGAGGUGGUUCACACCCCAAAGAUGCAAGCUGUGAUGCUCACCAUAUUCCUUCCUGAGUUCUGUAUACUCGUACUGGUGUUAGGUUCCGAUACCAUCUGUAAGUACCCUGAGGGAGAAUUUCUCGGGAGGUCACUCAUCCUAAAAUUGCUCUCUUGGACAUGUAUAACUAUAAAAUUUUCCUCCGACUCCCUGCUGGAAUUGACUUGUGGUGUUGGGAACUUUGAUCAUUUAUCAAAUUACUGCCACAUUUUCAGUCUACAAAGAUAUUCUAAUAUUGAAUCGAUUGAUAGGCAUAAUUGUUAGAAAAACAGCAUUCUGUGUUGAGCCUCUCAUCACGUGAAGUGAGUUUGCUAAGUUUAUAUUUAUGUCUCUGGUUAGCAGUAGGCUUCUCAUGGUCUUCAGGAAUCGGUUGCUUGCAAAGUUUGGAGGCGGACUUCAUGAGAAUCACCCUUUUCAUUAACUGCAACAUCUCUAAAGUGGUUUUAUUGCGUUGCAAUCCCUUGCUUAAGCUAAGUUGCAGGUACCAGUAGAAGAGAUGACUCUGUACAAUUUUCCUGACUCUUAUGUUAUCAGAUAAGCAUCACCAAAGUCGUGGUUGCUUUCCUGAUUUUAGCUCCCUCCUUCAAGAUUUGUUUUUCCUACCUUGUGCUCCACCAUACAACACAAUGCAACUAACUUCCGUGAUCAUUUCUGCAGAUAGCUUCUGCAUGAAACAAGCAAGGACUUUGUUCUGUUUUGUUCUAGAAGUUUUUGAUAGAAUGCGUCCUGCAAUUAUCGAUGCCAUUUUCUUCAUAUUCUACAAGUAAUGGGUUUCUUACUCGGAAAUGGGAACAAAUCAAACUUUUCAUAGGACUGACCUCUAAAUACAACCAUACGAGCCCCGAUCUUCUAAAAAAAAGGUGAUUUGGUCACUAAUUUGAUCCAGCUCAUCUGUUAGGCUAUGAUAGUGUUGGUCGUGCAGAUAUAUCCUCUAGCAAAAUUAGUUCGGUCUCCCCCUUGUUCUAGGGACACGUCACUUACUCAUUACUGUCUAGAUCAACUUUGAUACCAACAGAACAUCAGCAUAUUAUCCUCCGUCCAUCAUAUCUGUCUAGCCGUAGUUUGUCUCAUGCAUUCUUGUAUUUCAUUUAGUUCUGUUCUAUUUAUCAGUAUCUUUUUAUAUAUCCUAUUAAGACGUAGUCUUAGACAUUUAGUCAAAUGUAUGUACGUCUUCUUAGUAAUUAUUCAAAUAUAUUCAUUUUCUUCUAAGACCUUCCUCGAGGAAAAAAGAUUACUUUUACUGUAUUUCUUUUGUGAUUAUAGUAUUCGAGUUUCUACUAUUGGGAGAUUCACUUUCACAUCAAUAUCUAGAUGAUCGGUACUUGUAAUCUAAAAUCCUUCCUCAAGAGAGAAACAAGUAAUAUACUAAUCUGAAAAGUGGAGGUUGGUUUAAACUUCAUUAUUGAAUAAGACUUCCUGAAGUGGUUCUCUUUUGAUGAUGGUGUUAUAUAGAUUAAAUUUCUGGAAGCUCUGGGUAUUCUGGAUCCUAGUUCUUUGUUCUUUUUAAAAAAAAAAUAAAAGCGGGGAAAGUCAUAACUUUCAACUCUGUCGCUUACAAUGUUUUCUCCAGGCUUGUAGUUCAACCUCAAAAACUUCACAAAAGAACACUCCAUUCAGGACUGAGUAGAUUAAGUUUCUACCAGAAGAUAGAAAGUAUCAUAUAUAUAAUGCUGAGCUGAAAUGUGAAAUGAUACUUUUUGAAUUUUAAAUAGUUUGGUUUCAGUUACCAGAAAAAUAGGGUGAAAACGAAGCAAUAAUGCUAGACACAUAGGUAACGCUAAUCUAUUGAGCCAAUCAAGUUUUAGAUUGUCCAGGAACUUUAUGUCAUCAUGUUUUGUAUUUGGCCGUGUUUUAAAUUUUUUCAGGUGUUGAUUCUUGCGCUAGGAUUUCGUCCCAUAAUACUCUCCACAAAUAUGUGCUUGCUUUCAAGGGUUCAACAAUUAUAGCUAAGAUGCACCGAGAGAGUUCAGACAGCACCACUCCAAUAGGAGCCAUACCUUCAGAGGAGUGCAAGUACAAGUUUUUUUUAGAUGCUGAAAGGUGUUUUGUUGCUCUCAAAAGUUUUUCCUGAAUAAAAAGGCGAUGAAGAUUUGAGGGUCAUUCUCAGCCAACAAAUUGAUGGGAAGGAGAGCUGUUGCCGACCAGCAGUGUGGUUCAAAUGUCAGUUUAUGGUGCGCUCUCUGUGGCCCGAUGAGAUCGUUGAAAUCAAUUCCCUUGAUGCUUAUCUUCAACAUACUGUAUCAUGUGACAUGAAUCAUUACGAGAAAGCAAUUGUGUUGUGUUGUCCCUCAUUAAAACUCUGAACCGGCCAGCUAAACAAAUUUGUACAGGCACUAGAAAACCAAUUA